rnacentral:rRNA from 1 species
GUGUCAGCCGCCGCGGUAAUACGGAGGGUGCAAGCGUUAUCCGGAUUCACUGGGUUUAAAGGGUGUGUAGGCGGGCUGUUAAGUCAGUGGUGAAAUCUCCGGGCUCAACCCGGAAACUGCCAUUGAUACUAUCAGUCUUGAAUAUCGUUGAGGUUGGCGGAAUAUAUCAUGUAGCGGUGAAAUGCUUAGAUAUGAUAUAGAACACCGAUUGCGAAGGCAGCUAACUAAGCGAUGAUUGACGCUGAGGCACGAAAGCGUGGGGAUCAAACAGGAUUAGAUACCCUGGUAGUCCACGCCCUAAACGAUGAUUACUCGACAUACGCGAUACACAGUGUGUGUCUGAGCGAAAGCAUUAAGUAAUCCACCUGGGAAGUACGUCCGCAAGGAUGAA